rnacentral:rRNA from 1 species
AAAGGGUCCGUAGGCGGUUUAAUAAGUCAGUGGUGAAAGCCCAUCGCUCAACGGUGGAACGGCCAUUGAUACUGUUAGACUUGAAUUAUUAGGAAGUAACUAGAAUAUGUAGUGUAGCGGUGAAAUGCUUAGAGAUUACAUGGAAUACCAAUUGCGAAGGCAGGUUACUACUAAUGGAUUGACGCUGAUGGACGAAAGCGUGGGUAGCGAACAGGAUUAGAUACCCUUGU